rnacentral:rRNA from 1 species
CGGUUUGUUAAAUGCCCUGUGAAAUCGUUCUGCCUAACAGGACGGCGUGCAGGGUAGACUGGCAGACUUGGGACCGGGCGAGGUAAGCGGUAUUCCGGGGGGAGCGGUAAAAUGUGAUAAUCCUCGGAGGACCACCGAUGGCGAAGGCAGCUUACCAGAACGGAUCCGACGGUGAGGGAUGAAAGCUAGGGGAGCGAUCCGGAUUAGAUACCCGAGUAGUCCUAGCCGUAAACACUGUGUGCCAGAUGUUGCAUAAUCCCCGAGAUUGUGCAGUGUCGAAAUGAAGAUGUUAAGCACACCACCUGGGAA